rnacentral:rRNA from 1 species
AUUGAACGCUGGCGGCAUGCCUUACACAUGCAAGUCGAACGGCAGCGGGGGAGAAGCUUGCUUUUCCUGCCGGCGAGUGGCGAACGGGUGAGUAAUACAUCGGAACGUGCCCUGUAGUGGGGGAUAACUAGUCGAAAGAUUAGCUAAUACCGCAUACGACCUGAGGGUGAAAGUGGGGGACCGCAAGGCCUCAUGCUAUAGGAGCGGCCGAUGUCUGAUUAGCUAGUUGGUGGGGUAAAGGCCUACCAAGGCGACGAUCAGUAGCUGGUACUGAGAGGACGAUCAGCCACACUGGGACUGAGACACGGCCCAGACUCCUACGGGAGGCAGCAGUGGGGAAUUUUGGACAAUGGGCGAAAGCCUGAUCCAGCAAUGCCGCGUGUGUGAAGAAGGCCUUCGGGUUGUAAAGCACUUUUGUCCGGAAAGAAAUGGCUCUGGUUAAUACCUGGGGUCGAUGACGGUACCGGAAGAAUAAGGACCGGCUAACUACGUGCCAGCAGCCGCCGUAA